AAGCUACGCUCCUGAAUACAAUGUGAUAUAAAAGGUUCAUGAAAUCAUCAGGUAUGGAAAUGCUUGACCGUUUUUGUAAAUUACUUAGUACAAUAUUAUCAGUUUGUUUUUUGCAUUAUUUCCCAGUUCUCUUGCAGUACUAUUCAACAACCUAUCUUCCUGCCUACUAGAUAAAAGAGGGGUUUUGUUUACUUAACAUGGUUGCCUGAUUAACAUAGUCAUGGUUUCGGUUAGUUAUUUUUUCCACUACCGAAGCAACAACUUAUCUUCCUACCUACCAGAUAUACUACUCCUUGAUUGCUUAGCACCCGGCUUAAGAAGCUCCACCAUUCUUUUAUAUGAUAUUAGAAAAAAUUGAGUUCUAACUUUGUUGAAAGACACGCACAGUUCUGAUGUUCUGGGGCCAAUGUUCAUUUCUAGAGGCAAAUACUCUCGGAUUUCUUAGUGAACUAUAAUCCCAUCUAGAUAACCCCCCUCGAUAUAGCUCCCUUUAUUUGCACGACACAAUCUAGCAUAUGACGGCUCUGAUUUGGAUUGUGCGUGUUUCUCCAAAAACUAGGAUUAUAUGCCUGAGAACAAACAAAUAGCGUUAUAAACUUACCUCAAAGCCUAUGGGUUGACUGAAGCUUGAUAAAUAGUUUCAGAUGCACUAUGGUCUCAUAACAGUAGAAAUAAACUUCAAGGGAAAGAGAACCAUAAGUAUAGGUGACUGCAUAGUAGAAGACGUGUAAUCGUGUUGCACUAUACUGUCUUUAUAGAAGCCGACAAAAUCAGAGACAUCCUAAAUUUGGUUUUCUGUUCUUGUCAGUUAAGAAAAGAAACAUUAACUCUUGGAUUAUCAGUAAGGGAAUAUGCCUUAUUAGCAUACUCUUAUGGUGGUUAUUAUUGCUCAACGUUGUGAGGAAAAAGAAGAAUAUUCAGAUUUUUCUAUUUGUGGUUAUAUCUUUUGGAUAAACAAUAGAAGGGUAAACUGCGAAGAAGAAACAUAACGACCACCAGUAGUUAUAUCUUUAUUUUGAAUUAAACUAAAGUUGACAUGAUAGCAAUAUUUUAGAAUAUUCAGAUUUUUUCAAUAUUUAUGGUGAUUAUAUCUUUUGCACAUUAACUCUGAAACUGAACUAUUUGUGUCGGGCCAGAGAAGCGUAAUUUCAAUACAAACUGCAAUUGCUUGGGCAAGAGAAAUCAACUCAAUACUACAAUUUUCCAUAUGAUGUAGUAAGAGGGGGCGUACCAUUGUAAACCGAUGUAGGGUGAAGGCUAGCCGCAUCUUUGGCGUGUGGUCAAACCCGGCAAGCUGCAACUAUGUGGAGCAUCCACAUUACUGCCACCACAUGCUUGCUAAAACAGUUAAUAUGUUCGUCCCCGUACAUCGGCCACAUCUUCGGCGAGCAUGCUUGAUGCCAAAAUCGGGCAACUAUUGUUGUAUUGAGUAUCCAGAGAUGAUAACCGUCAUGAAAAUCACUGCAUGGAUCGAUGAUAUCCCACACGGUCUUUUUGCAUCAAAAGCGUGACCCACUUUGGAUAAGAAUACACCAACCAUUUUGGUAAUGGGCAUCUCAACAGUUCUAUUUGGGCCUUAUUCCCCUAAUACGCUAGUAAUUGUCUCCUUUCCUGUAUUUCUCUUAGUCUCACUCCCAAACACUUCAUGAUCUGAGAGAGGGAAUGCCAACAGCCAUGGCGGCAGUGUCCCCUCCGUCCGUUCAUGCAACUUGAGAGGCUCUAGCGAUGACGCAUGAGGGGCAUUGUCGUCACUAAGUUUGCCACCAUCCUAGUCGCGACGACAAUGCGACAGAGCAUAUAGUGGAGGGCAGAGAAAGACAGUCGAGGGAAAUGGCUUCAUCAGAAGAAUCCACAACACGCGGAUGACCAGUGUAGUAGAGAAGAGGAUGAGGGGGAAUUACUGGGGAAGCCCAAGGGGACAAGCCAAGUGAGGUAGCCUCAGGUAAUGAACAAGGCGGGGAAGUCGCAGGUGAUGACGAACUUGAUAAAGAAGAUAUUAGAGGUAGAAGAAACUUCAAUCCCUAGGAAGUAGCGAAGAGGACCAAGAUUAGACAUAAGAAAUCCACUAUGAUGAGCCUUCACAAUGGCAAAUGUACUUAGAGCCAUUGCUAGUGUUAUCGGCAUAUAGAAGAGUUCGACCAUGAGUUGAGAGGUGGACAAGUGUAGGAUUAUGAGCACUCGCCGAAAACUAGCCGUAGUCACCAUCGAGACGAAACGUUCAAACCAGGCAUGGAGGUUUGGUUAAGGCCAUAAAAAAGUGACGAAGACGACAAACCAUGUCAUCAAGAAGAGAAUACCCAUGUGGUGGUUACAUGUAGACCUCAUACAACUCAACAUUAAGGAAGGCAUUCCUGACAUCAAGCCGAGAGACAGACCAGUGGCGAACAUAAGCCACAAUGAGAAGUGUGCAAAGGCCACGGGAGCAAAUGCUCAUUGUAGUCUUGGCCAUGUUCCCGAGGAAAGCCUUGCGCCACUAGAUGAGCUUUGUAACACUCAAGAGAACCAUCAGUGUAUUAACAUUAUAGACACACUUACAAGCGAUUGGACGAGCACGGGGAGGAAGAGAAAUGACGUCCCACGUGUCGAUGCGCACAAGAGCAACAAUCUCCUCUACAAUCGCAUGCCGCCAUUCGGGAUGAACAAAUGCGUCAUGAUAAGAAGUUGUCUUGAGAAAAGCGGCGCCAGAAUAACCAUAGUGGUCAAUAGGCGGAAGCGAGAGCUCGAAAGCCAUAAGUAGGCUGAGCUGGAGGCGAUGCAUUGCCAACAGGAGAGGGCAUUGUAGUAGAGGGAGAUGGCUUGUCAGAAGGAUCCAUGACACACGGACCACAAGUGUAGUGAAGAAGAUGAUGAAGGGGAAUCAUCGGGGAAGCCUCGUGGACGAGCCAGGUGAGGUAGCCUCAAGUAAUGAACGAGGUGGGGAAGCCGCAUGUGACGAUGUGUGGGGUCUAUAACAGUAGUACGGGAGGACACGCUGGGAUAGGUGGGCGAGGGCAAUAAAUGAGUGAUAAGUGUAUCGGGUAAAUUGAGGGAAGCAUCCUCAAUUGGGGGGGGGGGCAAAGCAGAGGAUGGACGUGCAUAAAAAGGAUGACACUCAAUGAGAAGUCACAUCUCGAGAAAUGCGCAUCCGAUGACUGACAAGAUCCCAACACUGAUAGCCCUUGUGCUCAUCACUGUAACCUAAGAAGACAUUCAACAGAUUGAUCAGACAGUUUGGUGCGUGAAGAACGUAGCAAACACAACCAAACAAAGUGUUUAGUACUCCAUCCGUCCGAAAAUACUUGUCAGAGAAAUGGAUGCAUCUAGACAUACUAUAGUUCUAGAUACAUCCAUUUUUAUCCAUUGGGGGGGGGGGAAGCAGAGGAUGGACGUGCGUAAAAAGGACGAGAUUCAAUGAGAAGUCACAUCUCGAGAAAUGCGCAUCCGACGACUGACAAGAUCCCAACACCGAUAGCCCUUGUCCUCAUCACUGUAACCUAAGAAGGCAUUCAAUAGAUUGAUCGAACAGUUUUGGUGCAUGAAGAACGUAGCAAAGGCAACCAAACAAAGUGUUUAGUAAUCCAUCCGUCCGAAAAUACAUGUCGGAGAAAUGGAUGUAUGUAGACAUAUUUCAGUUCUAGAUACAUCCAUUUUUGUCCAUUUGUGCGACAAGCAAUUCCGGACUCGGAGUUGUCAAGGGAAUGCCCACAAAGACGCUCGGAAUGUCACCAUGUAGAGCAAAGGAGGGAUGAUUAUUGAUGAGAUAGGUGGCUACGAUCAUCAACGCACUAGCCGCCUCAUGAAGUUCGCGAUGCUUGCGCUUAGCAACACCAUUCUGACCACGAGCACAAGACGAGAACUGAGCAAGUGUGCUUUUCUCAACAAGGAAUUCGUGCAGCAAAUGAGGGAUAUACACGAAAGGCAUGGAUAUGAGUGGAAAACCGAGUAUGAACCAAGGCGGCAAACUUCUUACAGAUAGACCUCACUACAAGAAGGCAUAAAAUAUAUCGACUUGUAUCGAGGGGAAUCAUUAUAAAGAUAAUAUAGUGGCGAUGGCCUCCUUUCAAGGCAAAGGCAGCUGGAUCCCAAACAUCAGAGUGAACAAGAUCGAAAGGACGCCGAGACAGAGUCUCGCUCUAAGGAUAAGGUAAUUGAACGUGUUUACCCAACUAACAAUCUUGACUGCCUAAAGACACAUUACCAGAGACAGAUCCAUGGAGACCACGUCGAACUAAGGGUGAGAGUCAAGAACCACACAUGCGGCUGCGACGAUCAUGCCAGAACGAGUGGGUAGACGAGGUAAGUGAGUCGAAGAGACUGGCGGCGGUGGUAGCGGAGGGAAGGCGAAGCUUGGCACACUCCAGAGGGUGUGUGACUCAUAGCGCCGAGGGCCAACACCAAGUAGAGAACCCAUGUGCCGAUCCUAAAUCAGAACAAGACUCGAAGUCGAGAAUGACCCUACAACCAAAUUAAAAAUCUAUCCUCCUGAAAUGAGCUGCCUGUUAAGUAUCAUUGGCAGUAAGAACAUGUACAUAAGAAUUUAGAGGGCCAUUGCGGUGUCGACUGCCUGUGCGGCUAUGGCGGCGUGCAGCAGGUAACACGAGAUGUGGGAUUGAGGCGUCACACAUAGCAGCCCAAAGUCAGGCGAAGGAUGCCCAGUUGGACUGGUAGGGAGCAGAGAGUACACGUGAGGUGUGGGGGAAGGUAUGAAAACAUUGUUGGGAGCGGAUUGUUGUUGUCGUCGUUUGUUGUACUUGGAGACAAGCGUCGAGGGGAUGGCGAUUGGGGAAGGCGAGAAGAUGGCACUGGGAGGAGAAAGGCAUCAUUUGCCACCGUACAUACAUAUGUGCGUCUGUCAUGACAGUGGACGGUUGUGGGCAAAUCUAGUAUCUACAUGUGGGUUUGUUACUAGGCUUGGUUGGAUCAUAGUUAUGAUUUGUGCUAGAUUCCUUCCUUUGAAGAUUGAAGCUGGAGAACUUUAGGGUGUAGUAUGAUCAACCUGAGAUAUAUCAGAUUUAUAUAGGUAUAGUAUGGUUGGCAUGAGUGUGGUAUUGGUGGACUAUUGGAUCAUCUUGGAUAUUACUACUUGGAUUCUAGGUUGGAGGUAACUUGGGCACUUGGAUUUGUGAUAUUUUGACCUAAGUUUAUGGAUAUGGGCAUGUAGAUGAUAAAUGGAUUGGAGUUGGUAGACUUUGAUGAUUUUGCUAGCCCUCCUCAUAUGUAUUGGACUUAGAUAACUAUGAUACUAGGCUUGGUUGGAUCAUAGUUAUGAUUUGUGCUGGAUUCCUUCAUUUGAAGAUUGAAGCUGGAGAACUUUAGGGUGUAGAGUUAUCAACGUGAGAUAUAUCGGAUUUAUAUAGGUAUAGUAUGAUUGAAAUGAGUGUGCUAUUGGUGGACUAUUGGAUCAUCUUGGAUAUUGUUACUUGGAUUCUAGGUUUAAGAUAAUUUGGGCACUUGGAUUUGUGAUAUUUUGACCUAAGCUUAGUAGUUUGUAUGUGCCCCAUAUGAAUAUGAGCCACGGAGAUGAUACAAAUGGAUCGGAGUUGGUAGACUUCGAUGAUUUUGCUAACCCUCCCCAAAAAUGUUCAUGUACAAGAUCAUCAUGGUCGUGGAGGGAAAACUAGGCAUGACUCAACCCAAUGUAUAAGAAGAAAUAUGAUUUUGACCAUGCGAAUGGAAAUACAUGUACAUGCAGUGCCAACGGAAAAAAUGUUAAUUUAGUGGAUUCUGGUACGAAGCCACCUUGCAAGAGGUUAUUGAGUGCAGGCAACCCUGCGUUGGUGAAGGACCCUUCCUUGGCGCCGGAGGAAAUGAAGAGACAGGGGUCUUAAGACUAUGAGGGAAAAAUUGGGACGAGUGACUCAGCUCAGGGUUCCUCUUUGCAAGUUCAAGUGAAAAGGCAGAGGAUGGCAGGGCGUGCUGCUCUUGAUAGCGUUUGCAUCGCUUCUUCAUACCUCUCGUGCACUCCUCGUUUCCCGUCGAUUCGACUUGGCGUCCUUACCUUGUUUGAGGGUUAUGUGUCACGGACUUGGUUCCGCAUCCCACGUUCCCUUGCUAGGAGUCCCUAGCCUUGGCGACAGGUAGCGACGUGCACUUGGGCGCUUGGCGUCCUUGGGUAAGUUCGGGGGUGGUGCCCAAGCUUGCAGCUAUGGCGACAACUUGCAUGGGAGCAGAUGAUGUAGGAACAAGGCAGCACACGAGUAACUCGCAGCCAGGGAAAUGAUACCUAGCCGGACAUGCAGGCAGUGGAGAGUACACAGGAGGUGUGGGUAGGGGUGAAAACGCUGCCGGGAGCUGCUGCCGUUAGUUAGCCUUUAGAUCCAGAGCUGAGUGGCGAGGGUAUGAUCAACCUAAGAUAUAUCGGAUUUAUAUAUGUAUAGUAUGGUUGGCAUGAGUGCGGUAUUGGUGGACUAUUAGAUCAUCUUGGACAUUACUACUUGGAUUCUAGGUUGGAGGUAACUUGGGCACUUGGAUUUGUGAUAUUUUGACCUAAGCUUAGUAGCUUGUAUAUGCCCCAUUGGAUCAUCUUGGAUAUUACUAGGAUUCUAGGUUGGAGAUAACUUGGGCACUUGGAUUUGUGAUAUUUUGACCUAAGCUUAGUAGCUUGUAUGUGCCCCAUAUUUGAUAUGAGCAUGGAGAUGAUACAAAUGGAUCUUAGUUGGUAGACUUCGAUGAUUUUGCUAGCCCUCCCCAUAUGUAUUGGACUUAGAUAACUAUGAUACUAGGCUUGGUUGGAUUAUAAUUAUGAUUUUUGCUAGAUUCCUGUGAAGAUUGAAGCUGGAGAACUUUAGGGUGUAGUAUGAUCAACUUGAGAUAUAUCAGAUUUAUAUAGGUAUAUAUGAUUGGCAUGAGUGUGGUAUUGCUGGACUAUUGGAUCAUCUUGGAUAUCACUACUUGGAUUCUAGGUUGGAGGUAACUUGGGCCCUUGGAUUUGUGAUAUUUUGACCUAAGCUUAGUAGCUUGUAUGUGCCCCAUAUGGAUAUGAGCAUGGAGAUGAUACAAAUGGAUCGGAGAUGGUAGACUUUGAUGAUUUUGCUAACCCUCAUAUGUACCGGACUUAGAUAACUAUGAUAGUAGGCUUGGUUGGAUCAUAGUUAUGAUUUGUGCUAGAUUCCUUCCUUUGAAGAUUGAAGCUGGAAAACUUUAGGGUGUAGUAUGAUCUACCUGAGAUAUAUCGGAUUUAUAUAGGUAUAGUAGGAUUAGCAUGACUACGGUAUUGGUGGACUAUUGGGAUCAUCUUGGAUCUUGCUACUUGGAUUCUAGGUUGGAGAUAACUUGGGCACUUGGAUUUGUGAUAUUUUGACCUAAGCUUAAUAGCUUGUAUGUGCCCCAUAUGGAUAUGAGCAUGGAGUUGGUAGACUUUGAUGAUUUUGCUAACAACCCCCCCAAGAAUGAGUGUGGUGAGAUGAGAUGAUACAAAUGGAUCGGAGUGUAGACUUUGAUGAUUUUGCUAACCCUCCCCAAGAAUGUUACGAGUGCAAGAUCAUCAUGGGAGGAUGAUUUGGAUUAAUUAGAAUAGAUGGCAAUUUCAAUGGUUUUUUGCCUUUUUGGAGCAGCUGAACUCGCUUUUAUUAUGUAUUUGUGCUAGUUUAGAUGCAAUAGUAGUAGGAGGGUAGCAUAGGAGGCACACCUCCCCCUUGCCACCGUCAGGGCCGAAACCUGGCGAGAGGGAGACAUGCAUGAGCGGGUCGGGGCAGAAAGCACAAGGCUGCACUGUAGCAUCUUCAUCGGCACCUCGUUGGCGUUGUCCACCCAUGCCCUGACGACAAAGUACGAGAGGUCGAGCCUAUCGAAGGAUUCAAUGGCCAUAUGGUAGAUUAGGCAUUCGGGCAACAGUUCUUGGGUGGUUUGAGGCGAGAACUCCCGCAGGGGAUGCGUUGGAUGGACAGCCCAAUGCUGUAGCAGCAUUGAACCGAUGUGGCGAAGGUUAUCUUGUUCGACCACCACACUAGGAGCGGCGUGCCACGGUAGUGGACUGCGUCCACCCCACGAACCAUGUUGAACCACCGGCACUGCGUGAAGCUGGCGAAGAAAGAUCCUAGCUACAUGAGAGAGACCUGAAAGCCGUUUGUUCGAAAGCUCCGGGAAGUCGUCCUUAUGCCCUCAACAAUUUUUACCAGGAUUAGAGACGACCUCGUACCCGCCACCAUGAGCACCAGCGCCAAAUCCCAUAGGUAAGAACAUAUCCUCGAUGAGGCACCUCGUCUUGCGCAAGCGGGUGUUGCCCCUCGCCGGGUCGUACGCGAACCUAGCCGACAUGGAAGGCUCCAGCGACGAAAGGGCGGGUGGCUCCUUGUCGGGAAAGGUGAACCUGGAAUGAGUUGGCGAUUCGGGUGGUCGAGGGGGGGGGGGGGGGACCAGCCUGGAUUGGACUGACUAGCGGCGGCGGCAGCUGCACUCACGGCCUUGGCGGUGGUCAAGGCGGGGCUAAGAGUAGUGAUGGACUCAUUAGCGACGGCCAGGUCAUCAUGUCGGCGCGUGAAGUUCCUUCUGAAGCACAUCCUCUAGCCCAAGUGGUACAUUUGUUCAUUUGUGAUAUCUUCUGUUAGUGUUAUGUUCUCGUUGUCUCUUGCUCUGUUUCUCUUGCCCACAGGUACAUUUGUUCAUUUUCGUAGACCUGCUAUGUUCUAUUAUAAUUCGAGUUCAAAUGUCAAGUUGCGCCGCCACAAAAUGCUGCUACUUUAAGUUCUGUAAGCGCAGCGAGCAGCGUAGGCGGCCGCUGCAGCUGCUCACAUGGAACGUAUGCCCUGUUGCAGCCUUGCAGAUCAUUAUCAUCUCAUCUCACACACUCAUGCCACAUAACCUGGCGAGCUCACUCCUUACUCAUUCUAUGUACCACAUUUGUAGAUCAGUUUAAGGUACUGUUAAUGAACCAAAAGUUAAUGUUGUUGGCCUUGCCAAAAUGCCAUGAAGCUUAACAUUCGACACUUCCUUCAAAGGGGUCCUUCAGCCUCCAAGGAGAAGGGAAGUGAUGUCUGACAGGGAAAGAAACUAGGCGAAGCUCUGGAUGCUCGAUCGGGUACGCACCCAAUUAGCACUCUACUUCGUCGGUUUUCCACUGAAAUUUGCUCCAUGACAUCUUGCUUGCCAUGUGGUCUCCUUACCUCAAAAUUGACAUAUUAUAAUCUAUGAACUACUACAAGUAAACUAUACAACCAAAUGAUUGUUCCAAAAAUUCAAAUUUGCACCAUGCUUUCCACCUGAUCUGCCAGUUUAACUAUCUUAAUUGUACCGCAGACAUUUGAUGUGUGGUAGUACGUGUGUGAUGAAGCAUGGUGUAGUAGCAAACUAGCAACUGUUUCUGACAUACAUGGAUUUCUUUCUGCCUCUAUUUGAUGCUCGGUGGUGCUGAUCCGAAGGUCCGUGCGGACCCUGCUCUGGACAUAUGUCUCCUUAAUUUCCGUGUGCAAUUGUGCAAUCCAUGCUUUACACUUUAAAAUGAGAAUAAAAUUUAGCUCAUGUUGCCCUUCCAUCAUGCACCCAGAAUAUAUUACCUUUCUGCUUUUUAUAUUUUGGUUGGGCAUAUUUCAUGAUCAGAGGAUCGAUGAUUUGUGAUGAUUUGUUAUGCUAGACAAUGGAAAUAAGAUUUGGUGGAAAACAAAUGAUAUGAUAGGUGAUUUAUGAUGUACUACUAUUUUAGAUAACAAUACUAAGCUUUUAUUUGGUUGUUCUGCAUUUUUCCCUUUGCGAAGAUAGAUAUUAUAAGAGAUAAACAUCAUGUACAGGUUAACUUUUUGUGUGUGCCUUGCUGCCAAGUGGAAAUAGUCUAUAUGAUGCUCAAAAAUAGAGCUUCCUGGUGGGAAGGAUGAGGCACACUCAUUGAUACUUUGGUUUUAUAUCCAUUUGUUAUACAGUUUUUCUCUUCCAAGCAUAUAAACUUUAGCAAAUUAGAGUGUGCAAUCAAGUCUCCUAAGUGAACAUUUUUACCAUAUUAUCAAGUUUGAGGGCAUAUACGAUACGAGCAUAUAAGACAAGAGCAUGUCAUGCUACCUGAAAAUCUGCCUGGAGAUCUAAUUCCAUAUUUUUUCUAUUUUGUCGUUUAGAAAACCAGUUUCCUGAGUUGUUAGUCUGAGUAUUCAAAUUGAUCCGCAGAGUUCAGGGCUUCUGGAUGGAAGAGUUUCCUACAACGUCAAAAUCUUAGUACUCUCUACAUAGACUUCAUAAUUAUGCCUGACUUUUUCUGAGGAAUUGUUGAAGUAUGCCUUUUAUUUGGGUUGUUUGUGCAUUUGCAGUGUUGGAGGUGUUAGUGCAAGAUUGUAGAGUUGGAAAGUAUAGUAAAACGUCAGUUGGUGCAGGGACUUGGUGAAGCCAUCAGCCUCGACUGUGUCUGCUUCCCCGAUGGUUUUGACUUCUGACUAGUGAUUCUGAUGCAUAUUACUUGAUGAUUUGGUCUUUGUGGCAACUUUCAGUUUGAACUGGCAUUCAGUGGCUUCAUCCUCUUUGGUGCAGCCUGGAGUUAGUAGUGUGCACAUCUGAAUCUCUUGACUUUUUCCUGAAGCAUAUUACGUGGUUUAUGGUGUCUGCUAACUUGCAUGCGAUUUUGAUGGAAUCUGAUCUUGUUUUUUGCUCCCAGUAUAUACAAAAGGCUAGAAGUAAAUGAUGGAAGAUCCUUUAGUCUCAACGAGGGUUCUACUUUUGUACUCAAAGUUUGUAUAGUAGAUAAUCAAAUUUUGUUCUUUAGCUUGCAAAAUUAUCACCUUAUAGAGAAGUAAAGGUUGCAUUGAGCUCUGAUUAUCUCCACUAGCAGGCAGAAGGCGCGGCGGCAUGCCGCGCCUGAGUUUAAGCCCGUCAUUUAGCAAAUGUGUAGCUUAAUUUAUUGUUGCUUGUAUCUGCUACUAAUAGUUUGUUGUGAAAAUAAUAUAGUGAGCAGUAUGGAUCACUUAGUUAAUUACAUGACUUGGAGGCAUUCAGGAUGCAUGAAAAAGUUCAGCAGGGUGAGCACUGGUCUAAGAGAAGUACACUAUCUAGCUAAUUGAUUUACAGAUGAAGAUAAAAGAGAGAAAGUUGGUGGAGUUGCUUGUGGCUUGUCAGCACUCCGGAUGAUUUGCUAUUGGCCUUCAUGCUUGGAGUCGAGAGAAUAAUUCUUUUAAGCUCUGGUUGUUAUAUAUUCUUGGCAAACCUGAGUGUUUGAGGUUACAUUGGAUCUUCGUGCAGAAAAGAUCCGCUGGCUUUGUAUGCUCUCAUGUACAGUGUGCUCAGAGGAUGGCAGAGUUGCAAUGAUAUUUGUUCGAUGUAUCAUCUGCCAUUGGUAGAGGAUGAAGAACGUGGGAUGGCCAGGCAGCGUGUUGAUCAUCAGGAGUAGCGGUAACUGGUCUUCAUUCUCUAAGUAUUCUGUUGCUCAUACUUGGAAAUGUAAAUUGCUUGGGAUGUACCUUGGCCAUGGCUGUGCAUCUGGACAGUUAGAACAACCAUAUGAUCCUUUUCCAUCUGUUCUCAUUUUCUUCCAGCAAACUUUACAACUCAUAUACCACCGGUAUUUCAGUGACUUUGAUUCUCAGCUUAUAGUAUUUCUUCUGCA